GACGAACGCUGGCGGCGUGCUUAACACAUGCAAGUCGAACGGAAAGGCGCCGCUCUUGUGGGGGGCUGGAGUGGCGAAGGGAAGAGUAACAUGAGAGGAACGUGACCUGGACUCUGGUAUAACUUAAGGAAACGGGGGCGAAGAUCGGACAGGAGCUCCUGCUGCAUGGUGGGGGUGGGAAAGGGUAGGAGGUUGGGUAUGGAGGGGCGGCUCAUCAGGCUGUUGGGGGGGUAGGUGCUGAGCUAGGCUUUGACGGGUGGCCGGCCUGAGAGGGUGACCGGCCACAUUGGGACUGAGAUACGGCCCAGACUCCUACGGGAGGCGGCAGUGGGGAAUAUUGCACAAUGGGCGGAAGCCUUAUGCAGCAACGCCGCGUGCGGGAUGACGGCCUUCGGGUUGUAAACCGCUUUCGCCUGUGACGAAGCGUGAGUGACGGUAAUGGGUAAAGAAGCACCGGCUAACUACGUG
rnacentral:rRNA from 1 species